rnacentral:rRNA from 1 species
UACGUAGGGUGCAAGCGUUGUCCGGAAUUAUUGGGCGUAAAGAGCUCGUAGGCGGUCUGUCGCGUCGGCUGUGAAAACCUGGGGCUUAACUCCGGGCCUGUAGCCGAUACGGGCAGACUAGAGUUCGGCAGGGGAGACUGGAAUUCCUGGUGUAGCGGUGAAAUGCGCAGAUAUCAGGAGGAACACCGGUGGCGAAGGCGGGUCUCUGGGCCGAAACUGACGCUGAGGAGCGAAAGCGUGGGGAGCAAACAGG